UACUGAAGGCAAUAAAAAGGCUGCAGGCAAGAAAGGUCAGGCUUAAAGAAACCAAUGAGAGUAAACUGACCUGUUUGUUGUCUCUAAAAAACACCAGAAGAAAAAUGUCCAGGGUCAAUGCCGACCUGCAUGAAAGUGGAAUAAACUGCAAGGUAAGUAAUGUAAGAUCCCCAAGACAGCGCUACAAGGUCACCGUUGGACAGUGGCUUGUUGGAAGAGCAGGGUAAUGACUCCCAGCAAGAACUGACAAAUCUGGUGCAGUCCAGGAGGCUGAGGUGCCCUGUGGUUCUUAAGGGAGCUGGUGGCCACAGAAGUUAACGCCUCUCACUUUUGAUAUUGACCUCCCCCACUCCCCUUUGCUCAGAGACACUUUUGCUCAUAUCAGUUCAUCAAAUACCCAUGGAACUUGAUCAGUUUGUCUGUCAGUUGUUCAACUUUAGCAUUGGUCGAUAUUACCCAGUUGAAGAGAUGUAUUUUCCACAUAAAUCCGUAGAAUUCCUGCAGAAAUAGAGCAUUGGUGGUUCAGUGGUAGAAUUCUCGCCUGCCACGCGGGAGACCCGGGUCCGAUUCCCGGCCAAUGCAGCAGAGGUCGCCUUUUAACGCCAUGUUAGUCGUUCUUCAUAAGCGGCAGCUGUCCCCAGAGCCAUGAGCACAGCGCAGCUUCACUCACUGGUGGUUGAGUGGCAGAGUUGUUGUUUCCCGCGCAGGGGACCCAGGUUCGAUUCCCAGCAAAAGCAAAGCAGUGUAUCUUGCUACUUUAGAAGUGGGCAACUUAUCAGUGUUUUACAGGGAACUAGUGGAAGCACUCUAGACCACGCUUUUCCAUGCUUGUUCAACGAAGUACACGCAAUUAUGGCUCAUGCACCUGUGAAAAACUACUGAAGGCAAUAAAAAGGCUGCAGGCAAGAAAGGUCAGGCUUAAAGAAACCAAUGAGAGUAAACUGACCUGUUUGUUGUCUCUAAAAAACACCAGAAGAAAAAUGUCCAGGGUCAAUGCCGACCUGCAUGAAAGUGGAAUAAACUGCAAGGUAAGUAAUGUAAGAUCCCCAAGACAGCGCUACAAGGUCACCGUUGGACAGUGGCUUGUUGGAAGAGCAGGGUAAUGACUCCCAGCAAGAACUGACAAAUCUGGUGCAGUCCAGGAGGCUGAGGUGCCCUGUGGUUCUUAAGGGAGCUGGUGGCCACAGAAGUUAACGCAUCUCACUUUUGAUAUUGACCUCCCCCACUCCCCUUUGCUCAGAGACACUUUUGCUCAUAUCAGUUCAUCAAAUACCCAUGGAACUUGAUCAGUUUGUCUGUCAGUUGUUCAACUUUAGCAUUGGUCGAUAUUACCCAGUUGAAGAGAUUUAUUUUCCACAUAAAUCCGUAGAAUUCCUGCGGAAAUAGAGCAUUGGUGGUUCAGUGGUAGAAUUCUCGCCUGCCACGCGGGAGACCCGGGUCCGAUUCCCGGCCAAUGCAGCAGAGGUCGCCUUUUAACGCCAUGUUAGUCGUUCUUCAUAAGCGGCAGCUGUCCCCAGAGCCAUGAGCACAGCGCAGCUUCACUCACUGGUGGUUGAGUGGCAGAGUUGUUGUUUCCCGCGCAGGGGACCCAGGUUCGAUUCCCAGCAAAAGCAAAGCAGUGUAUCUUGCUACUUUAGAAGUGGGCAACUUAUCAGUGUUUUACAGGGAACUAGUGGAAGCACUCUAGACCACGCUGUUCCAUGCUUGUUCAACGAAGUACACGCAAUUAUGGCUCAUGCACCUGUGAAAAACUAC